rnacentral:rRNA from 1 species
UAGAGUAAAGUUCGUACAAAGUUUUCCUUAGGUGACCCUCCGAAAGGAUCAUUA